rnacentral:lncRNA from 1 species
AGUUGGGCUGUUAUAAUCCAUCAAAACUGUAGUAAGCUACCUUAAACCAUGCCUUGCGUGAUGCAAAGAACGUGUGCCUCCUUUAUAUCCUUCUAUUGAGAGUUGAUGUCUGCUCCCUGAUCGUCCUCGUGCAAUCCCCGUAGGACUUGGUACCUGUUGGACAGUACCACUCUGAAUCUAUCCGCUGUACUUACGUCCCUCAGGAAACCAACAAUAUAUCGCGCUCUUUUUCUUUUUUAACCUGUUUCAUUCCUAGCUUCAUGCAUUUUAACUCAACCCGGAUGUCUUAUAGUGAUCUUUUGGACUCCUUUGUAAGACAGAUGUGGUCGAUCUGGUUCUCUGCUAUAAGGCCCUAUUGUUUUGGAACACCAUUAUAAGCUCAACGAAAACUCUCUAUAUAGAAAUUUUUAAAGAAACCAGACCAUUAUUUUUAGGUUUCCAUAAAUGGGGAUAUGUCCAUGAUAGUGCCCGUCUAAUGACAACUUAUCCCUCGGCCUCAGGAAACCAGUUAGUAUGGUUUCUUGCAUUGCAAUUGAGUAUUUCAAUGUUUCCCCUUGGCUCCAGCUCGGAAAAUAAAUGGGUUUCCCUCCGGUUUAAUCAUAUUUCUAAUCUAUCACUAACGCGGAAAUUAAGAUUGGUUUCCUGUAUAAAGGCAAGCACCAUGGAAACAUAACAUAACAUUAUAUUAGAAAUACAACAGUGGGCCACGAUAAUACAUAGUUGCAUUUUCAAGCAUGACAGGAACAUCAUCCAGUUCUAAGAAGUUCUGCCCGCUUGCCGCAUCCUUUACAGCCCACAAUUGAUUUCACGGUGCACACUGACUAAGAAAUACCUUCAGACUUUCUUAGAGUUGCCAUAAUAUAAAGGUAAGCCUUAUUUUAUGAAGUUGCGGCGAUUUGUUGCAGAGAACGUCUGAUAGAAACAGUGUCUUUGGGCAGCAUGUAAAUGUCCCUUGAAAUUAUUAAUGCACAUACGAGAAAUUUAAAUGAUAUACAUAAGACCAGCGAUAAGCACUACUCGAGUACUGCGAAUUUCCAUGUAAAUGUUAAAAAUAGUGUCUAUUUACAACUGUAACUUAAAUGGUACACUUCAACCAGUGAUUAUUGCUUUUCGCGCGCUCCUAUUGGACACUCAAACUACGCCUAUCCUUCGCCAUUCACCUUCGAGCAAAACAAAAUGACUUCCCGUUUUGCUUUUGUGACAGAAGGAGAGUUUUUAAAUAAGGGAUGUUUUCUAUGAUGGGAUGUGGGUUUUGCAGUGCCAAUACGUGGCCUGCGUUGAAAGCGUAAAUGGAGAGGGAGUUAGGGAGGCAAAAGACGCCAGGAAGUUCCAUCUCCACUCUCUUCUCCCCUCUCCCCCGUUUUAUGCCUGCUACCCAGCCUAAAAUACAUGACACUCUAAUCGUGUUACUCAUAUAAUUGUAGUUUUUUAACAUUUAUUUUCUUCAGAAAGAACUUUACAUUACUUACGAUAUAGUACAUCACCUAUAAAAUUGUUAAAAAUAUUGGAUUCGUUUACGAUCAAGUUUUCUUUCGAGUCUGUCCUCUUGUUAACAAUGAAUGUCGUCAAGACUGCGUCGACGCAUGAAUUGAUCGUACAUAAAUGAAGGCAGAAACACUACCGUUAUCUUGUAACAUUGUAUUCAGCUGAACGUUAACUGAGGAAAAUUGAAACAUCGUUUUCCUUCGUUCCUUUAACAAGAUCUAACAAUAGCUUUCACACUCCAAACAGAUUUACUCUGGUACUUUCAAUACCUAAGGAUGAAAGACAAAUAAUUUCCCUCCUGACAAAACAAAACAAAACAAAACAAAACAAAAAAAACAACAACA